rnacentral:rRNA from 1 species
GACGAACGCUGGCGGCGUGCCUAAUACAUGCAAGUUGAGCGAUGAAGGUUGGUACUUGUACCAACUGGAUGAGCAGCGAACGGGUGAGUAACGCGUGGGGAAUCUGCCUUUGAGCGGGGGACAACUUUUGGAAACGAAUGCUAAUACCGCAUAAAAACUUUAAACACAAGUUUUAAGUGCGAAAGAUGCAAUUGCAUCACUCAAAGAUGAUCCCGCUUUGUAUUAGGUAGUUGGUGAGGUGAAGGCCUACCAAGGCGAUGAUAAAUAGCCGACCUGAGGGGGUGGUUCGCCACCUUGGGACUGGGACACGGCCCAAACUCCUUCGGGAAGCCGCAGUAGGGAAUCUUCGGCCAUGGACGAAAGUCCGACCGGGCAACGGCGGGGGGGGGAAGAAGGUUUUCGGAUCGUAAAACUCUGUUGGUAGGGAAGAACGUUGGUGAGAGUGGAAAGCUCAUCAAGUGACGGUACCUACUCAGAAAGGGACGGCUAACUACGUG